UGGCCCAGAUCGUUUACCGUGAAAAAAUUAGAGUGUUCAAAGCAGGCAGAUCCAAUUUUCUGCCACCGAAUACAUUAGCAUGGGAUAAUGGAAUAGGACCCUGUCCUCCUAUUUUCAGUUGGUUUUGGCAGCGCGAGGACUAGGGUAAUGAUUAAUAGGGAUAGUUGGGGGCAUUAAUAUUUAAUUGUCAGAGGUGAAAUUCUUGGAUUUAUGAAAGAUUAACUUCUGCGAAAGCAUCUGCCAAGGAUGUUUUCAUUAAUCAAGAACGAAAGUUAGGGGAUCGAAGACGAUCAGAUACCGUCGUAGUCUUAACCAWAAACGAUGCCGACCAGCGAUUAGGAGACGUUGAAUACAAACACCACCAUCGGUUGCGGUCAUCCUUGGCGUCUCGGUUUCGSCCGGGGCGCGGGGAUGGCUASCCCCUGUUWMCCCYYC
rnacentral:rRNA from 1 species